AUUGAACGCUGGCGGCAUGCUUUACACAUGCAAGUCGAACGGUAACAGGUUAAGCUGACGAGUGGCGAACGGGUGAGUAAUGCAUCGGAACGUGCCCGAUCGUGGGGGAUAACGCAGCGAAAGCUGCGCUAAUACCGCAUACGAUCUGAGGAUGAAAGCGGGGGACCGUAAGGCCUCGCGCGAUCGGAGCGGCCGAUGUCAGAUUAGGUAGUUGGGGGGGUAAAGGCUCACCAAGCCGACGAUCUGUAGCUGGUCUGAGAGGACGACCAGCCACAGUGGGACUGAGACACGGCCCAGACUCCUGCGGGAGGCAGCAGUGGGGAAUUUUGGACAAUGGGCGCAAGCCUGAUCCAGCAAUGCCGCGUGCAGGAAGAAGGCCUUCGGGUUGUAAACUGCUUUUGUACGGAGCGAAAAGGCUUUCUCUAAUACAGGAGGCUGAUGACGGUACCGUAAGAAUAAGCACCGGCUAACUACGUGCCAGCCGCCGCGGUAAAAC
rnacentral:rRNA from 1 species